rnacentral:rRNA from 1 species
CCUACGUGUGGCAGCAGUAGGGAAUAUUGCUCAAUGGGGGAAACCCUGAAGCAGCAACGCCGCGUGGAGGAUGAAGGUUUUCGGAUUGUAAACUCCUUUUGUUAGAGAAGAUAAUGACGGUAUCUAACGAAUAAGCACCUGCUAACUCCGUGACAGCAGCCGCGGUAAUACGGAGGGUGCAAGCGUUACUCGGAAUCACGGGGCGUAAAGAGCGCGUAGGCGGGAUAGCAAGUCAGAGGUGAAAUCCUAUGGCUUAACCAUAGAAAUGCAUUUGAAACUGUUAUUCUAGAGUAUUGUAGAGGUAGGUGGAAGUCUUGGUGUAGCGGUAAAAUGCGUAGAGAUCAAGAGGAAUACUCAGUGCGAAGGCGACCUGCUAGAACAUGACUGACGCUGAUGCGCGAAAGCGUGGGGAGCAAACAGGAUUAGAUACCCCUGUAGUC